rnacentral:rRNA from 1 species
GGCAGCAGUGAGGAAUAUUGGACAAUGGAGGCAACUCUGAUCCAGCCAUGCCGCGUGCAGGAAGACUGCCCUAUGGGUUGUAAACUGCUUUUAUAUAGGAAGAAACCUUGGUACGUGUACCAAGCUGACGGUACUAUAAGAAUAAGGAUCGGCUAACUCCGUGCCAGCAGCCGCGGUAAUACGGAGGAUCCAAGCGUUAUCCGGAAUCAUUGGGUUUAAAGGGUCCGUAGGUGGAUAAUUAAGUCAGAGGUGAAAUCUUGCAGCUCAACUGUAAAAUUGCCUUUGAUACUGGUUAUCUUGAGUUAUUAUGAAGUAGUUAGAAUAUGUAGUGUAGCGGUGAAAUGCAUAGAUAUUACAUAGAAUACCAAUUGCGAAGGCAGAUUACUAAUAAUCAACUGACACUGAUGGACGAAAGCGUGGGUAGCGAACAGGAUUAGAUACCCUGGUAGUCCACGCCGUAAACGAUGGUUACUAGCUGUUUGGACCUUGUGUCUGAGUGGCUAAGCGAAAGUGAUAAGUAACCCACCUGGGGAGUACGUUCGCAAGAAUGAAACUCAAAGGAAUUGACGG